UAUGAGAGUUUGAUCCUGGCUCAGGACGAACGCUGGCGGCGUGCCUAAUACAUGCAAGUCGAACGCUUCUUUUUCCACCGGAGCUUGCUCCACCGGAAAAAGAGGAGUGGCGAACGGGUGAGUAACACGUGGGUAACCUGCCCAUCAGAAGGGGAUAACACUUGGAAACAGGUGCUAAUACCGUAUAACAAUCAAAACCGCAUGGUUUUGAUUUGAAAGGCGCUUUCGGGUGUCGCUGAUGGAUGGACCCGCGGUGCAUUAGCUAGUUGGUGAGGUAACGGCUCACCAAGGCCACGAUGCAUAGCCGACCUGAGAGGGUGAUCGGCCACAUUGGGACUGAGACACGGCCCAAACUCCUACGGGAGGCAGCAGUAGGGAAUCUUCGGCAAUGGACGAAAGUCUGACCGAGCAACGCCGCGUGAGUGAAGAAGGUUUUCGGAUCGUAAAACUCUGUUGUUAGAGAAGAACAAGGAUGAGAGUAACUGUUCAUCCCUUGACGGUAUCUAACCAGAAAGCCACGGCUAACUACGUGCCAGCAGCCGCGGUAAUACGUAGGUGGCAAGCGUUGUCCGGAUUUAUUGGGCGUAAAGCGAGCGCAGGCGGUUCCGGAUUUAUUGGGCGUAAAGCGAGCGCAGGCGGUUUCUUAAGUCUGAUAACUGGGAGACUUGAGUGCAGAAGAGGAGAGUGGAAUUCCAUGUGUAGCGGUGAAAUGCGUAGAUAUAUGGAGGAACACCAGUGGCGAAGGCGGCUCUCUGGUCUGUAACUGACGCUGAGGCUCGAAAGCGUGGGGAGCAAACAGGAUUAGAUACCCUGGUAGUCCACGCCGUAAACGAUGAGUGCUAAGUGUUGGAGGGUUUCCGCCCUUCAGUGCUGCAGCUAACGCAUUAAGCACUCCGCCUGGGGAGUACGACCGCAAGGUUGAAACUCAAAGGAAUUGACGGGGGCCCGCACAAGCGGUGGAGCAUGUGGUUUAAUUCGAAGCAACGCGAAGAACCUUACCAGGUCUUGACAUCCUUUGACCACUCUAGAGAUAGAGCUUCCCCUUCGGGGGCAAAGUGACAGGUGGUGCAUGGUUGUCGUCAGCUCGUGUCGUGAGAUGUUGGGUUAAGUCCCGCAACGAGCGCAACCCUUAUUGUUAGUUGCCAUCAUUCAGUUGGGCACUCUAGCAAGACUGCCGGUGACAAACCGGAGGAAGGUGGGGAUGACGUCAAAUCAUCAUGCCCCUUAUGACCUGGGCUACACACGUGCUACAAUGGGAAGUACAACGAGUCGCGAAGUCGCGAGGCUAAGCUAAUCUCUUAAAGCUUCUCUCAGUUCGGAUUGCAGGCUGCAACUCGCCUGCAUGAAGCCGGAAUCGCUAGUAAUCGCGGAUCAGCACGCCGCGGUGAAUACGUUCCCGGGCCUUGUACACACCGCCCGUCACACCACGAGAGUUUGUAACACCCGAAGUCGGUGAGGUAACCUUUUGGAGCCAGCCGCCUAAGGUGGGAUAGAUGAUUGGGGUGAAGUCGUAACAAGGUAGCCGUAUCGGAAGGUGCGGCUGGAUCACCUCCUUU
rnacentral:rRNA from 1 species